GCCUGGGUGGCUCAGUCGGUUGAGCGUCCGACUUCAGCUCAGGUCACGAUCUCGCGGUCCGUGAGUUCGAGCCCCGCUUCGGGCU
rnacentral:tRNA from 1 species